rnacentral:hammerhead_ribozyme from 1 species
GCACUGUUGAAGAGUCCCACAAUAGGACGAAACGAUCUUUUAGUGC